UACGUAGGGUGCAAGCGUUUAAUCGGAAUACUGGGCGUAAAGCGUGCGCAGGCGGUUAUGUAAGACAGAUGUGAAAUCCCCGGGCUCAACCUGGGAACUGCAUUUGUGACUGCAUAGCUAGAGUACGGUAGAGGGGGAUGGAAUUCCGCGUGUAGCAGUGAAAUGCGUAGAUAUGCGGAGGAACACCGAUGGCGAAGGCAAUCCCCUGGACCUGUACUGACGCUCAUGCACGAAAGCGUGGGGAGCAAACGAGG
rnacentral:rRNA from 1 species